GCCGGGCUUGGUGGCGCGUGCCUGUAAUCCCAGCUACUCGGGAGGCUGAGGCAGGAGAAUCGUUUGAACCUGGGAGGCGGAGGUGGCAGUGAGCUGAGAUCCGCCACUGCACUCCAGCCUGGGUGACAGAGCGAGACUCCGCCUCAA
rnacentral:SRP_RNA from 1 species